UAAUGCUAUGAUGGUUCAUCUUUCGGGUCUGACUUCUGCUGAUGACCAUUUUUAUACUGAGCAUUA